AUCCCAUGAUGAUGGCACUUAUGAUGUAAUUCUUUGAAUCUCUCUCAUGCUUCGUACAAAGAUUCAUCGUUAAAUUGUUGAAAAGUGGUUAUCUCAUUUCGCAACUU
rfam:Gossypium raimondii Chr04_contig_406, whole genome shotgun sequence.